rfam:Dipodomys ordii contig_51215, whole genome shotgun sequence.
GGAGGGAUAGCUCAGUGGUAGAGUACCUGCUUACCAAGCAUGAGGCCCUGAGCUCAAUCCCCAGUACCACCA